GCUUUGCAGUCUGGUGCCGCAGCCAUAACACACACGGAAAACAGCGCCGUACAGCACCGUACGCACUGCCUACGGCGCCCCUUCAGGCAUUGACCCGCCAGCUCACGCGCCCUUGGCGGCCCCCUCAAAGCCUAGCUCAACAUACUUCCCCAAAGCCCGCAGCACUUUCAUGUGCUGUCCUAUGUUCAUUUCCGAAGCGCCAGGCUUCAGCAAUCCGCC
rnacentral:lncRNA from 1 species